UCUCCGUCUUACAGAAACAGCAGAACCACAGUCCAGCUCUGUGCAGACAAUAGCUGCUUCCUUCAGGGUCCAGUAACCAUCACCCACUGGUCUCCAUUCUCCAUGUUUCAGCUCCAGUGUUCCUGAACAGUGACUGUCUCCCCCCACCAACCUGACAGGCUCUGAACAGAAACAAGAGAGUCAUCAAUGGAGAGAAUUUCUGGAGUUGAAAGGACACAAACGGUCAAAUUGGUUCUUUCCCCUCCCAGACAGGAGAGCAAAUUCAGGAGCUGAAACUCCACAACGCCAGACAGCCACUGGAGCUGCUUGGUCAGCUGGAAGGCAGGAUGUGUGUGUCGGUGAGAAUAUUACACCUGCUUUUUCAGCAAUCUGAGUGGGGACUUUAAGCAUGACAGUUAUUUU